UUUAUAUUUUACAGUUUAUAAUU
rnacentral:snRNA from 1 species